UUCGCAAUGCCCGAAAGGGUGACGACGCGACGCCGCGCGGGUGAUGAAGGCCUUCGGGUUGUAAAGCCCUGUCACCUGGGAAGAAUGGCGGGAGGUGAAUAGCCAUCUCGUCUGACGCUACCAGGGGAGGAAGCACCGGCUAAAUACGUGCCAGCAGCCGCGGUAAUACGUAUGGUGCGAAUGUUGUUCGGAAUCACUGGGCAUAAAGAGCACGUAGGCGGUUGAGCAAGUCCAUUGUGAAAUCCCCCGGCUUAACCGGGGAACUGCAGUGGAUACUACUUGACUUGAGUGCAGAAGGGGAGAGUGGAAUUCCUGGUGGAGCGGUGAAAUGCGUAGAUAUCAGGAGGAACGCCGGUGGCGAAAGCGACUCUCUGGUCUGUUACUGACGCUGAGGUGCGAAAGCUAGGGGAGCAAACGGGAUUAGAUACCCCGGUAGUCCUAGCCCUAAACGAUGGGCACUAAGUAGAGGGGUUUU
rnacentral:rRNA from 1 species